UAAGCUUUACGGUUAUUUUAUGUUAAAUGUAUACUAAUUGUUAACUAAUUAUGCUUCCAUUGUUAAUCAUCUUUUAUGUUCAUUAAUAGUUCCUGUGUUAAGUGUGGUUUGGAAAAGGUCUGUUCUGCUAUUGUUUGUUCAUAGUGUUCAAUGGAAGGUUUCUAGCGUAACUGUAAUGGCUUUUGUUAUUUCUCAUAGUUUUAUCGAAUGGAUUUCACAUUCUGGACUUUGAGGACUUUAUUUUGAAAUUGUUCAUGGUUCUCACAAGCAUGUUGUAGUUGAAAGUCACCAAGAACAGCUCAUCAUGAAGGAAACAAGAAAAAUGUCUAACUCAAUGAAAGUAAAUGUCAUUUAUUAUCAUAAUGACGAUCAAGAUAUAACCGAUAACCAAGUUAGAUGAUGCCACCGACAUGUUCCCAAUGUUAAAAGUUAAAAGUACUGACUACUUUACUAACUGGAAUCACACGGUUUAAAGCUAAAGAAAGAAAGAGAAACCUAAAGCGUUGUCAAAGUCAAGCCUUUUUUGCCAAAAAUGUAUAGCAAUGGUGGAAAUCUUAUCGGCAAAAGUAAACAACUUUGUCCAAUAAAGUCUAAACAAGAAAAACGUUUUGUUACCCGUUAGCAAAAUAUUAUCUUUAAAAUGGAGAAAAGACUAUCAUAAUCAUUUUUUGGCGGGAUAUGAGUGAUUUAUUAAUACAAUGAAUAUUAUCGAUAACGGGUUGGCCAGUUGACAUGAAAUGCUCUGAAUUAAACUGAAAGUUUAGCUGAAAGUUCAUUGGCGUACACAAGACCAUUGCAGGAAGCCUUUUUGACCGGACAAGUGUGACUUUGUUAGCAUGAAAGUUUCUCCUUGUAUGGCUCUUGACUAGCUUAGGCAAUGAAACAAAAAAUUUAAUGUUGAUCAAGAUGAAGUUGAAAAUUUAAUUUGAUUAGUCUCUCUUUAUGGAGUUUUUUACUCUUUAUGGUUUGAUAUAGCUUGACCAUAUGAUGAACUAAAUGGUGAUCAUUAUGGGAUAAAGGUGAUGAAGAUGCUCAAAUAACAGUACAAGAACGGUAGCAUUGUCAGUAUGUUGUUUACCAUACUGACCACGGAUACACACUGGUCAAGACUCGGCAGGAGGUAAAGAUCACCCAACAUUGAUUAUCCAUAUUGGGUAACUUUGUAGUCACUCAAGUUCCAAUUAUUGGUCUUGUAAAGUUUUACCCUAAAGGCAAAAGUCAACUUUGACCAAUAUUUCAAAAUGAAAUUACCAAAACUUCAAACAUCCCAUUGAUUAGUUGGAAAUAAAUCUCCGUAAAGGUGUCGAAGCUGUUGCUGGCCUUCAUAUUACAUGAUACGUUUUCACGCCAAUGAAUCAACCUUUAAAAUCAAUCAACUUCAUUACACUGUUUGGUGUCUAAAAGUGGAAUAUUAUCUAACAUUACUGGACAUUAUCAUUGACCAUUAAGUUUCUCCCAUCGAGUUAUGUAGACCAUUUCACUUCAAUCAAAGCUGAAUCAAUUUUGACGGUAAACAAAUGGAGAAAAGGCCCUUUUCGUUGCAUUUUUGUUUGAACCUUAUGCUAACCAAACCCUAAGAUCAUAAUCAUUAUGAAUGAUUUUAAUGAUGAACUUGACGAUGAGCAAGCCUGUUGAAAGGAUU